GACGAACCGUGCAAACGUUGUUCGGAAUCACUGGGCUUAAAGGGCGCGUAGGCGGCUCGCGAGGUCGGGGGUGAAAUCCCACAGCUUAACUGUGGAAGUGCCUUCGAUACCGGCGGGCUGGAGGAAGGUAGGGGUGCGCGGAACUUCUGGUGGAGCGGUGAAAUGCGUUGAUAUCAGAAGGAACGCCGGCGGCGAAAGCGGCGCACUGGACCUUUUCUGACGCUGAGGCGCGAAAGCCAGGGGAGCAAACGGG
rnacentral:rRNA from 1 species